GCUGCAAGAGAGGAGGCCACUUCCAACCUGAGGUGUAGCCCUGCAGCCUGCUACAUGCUUCCCAGGCUGGAGAACACGAACACACCUUCAGUGUUGGUGUUAUUUGAAGAUGUGGCUGUGGACUUUUCCCAGGAAGAAUGGCAGACAAUGGACA